rnacentral:rRNA from 1 species
CCUACGGGUUGCAGCAGUGGGGAAUAUUGCACAAUGGGCGCAAGCCUGAUGCAGCCAUGCCGCGUGUAUGAAGAAGGCCUUCGGGUUGUAAAGUACUUUCAGCGGGGAGGAAGGUGUUGUGGUUAAUAACCACAGCAAUUGACGUUACCCGCAGAAGAAGCACCGGCUAACUCCGUGCCAGCAGCCGCGGUAAUACGGAGGGUGCAAGCGUUAAUCGGAAUUACUGGGCGUAAAGCGCACGCAGGCGGUCUGUCAAGUCGGAUGUGAAAUCCCCGGGCUCAACCUGGGAACUGCAUUCGAAACUGGCAGGCUAGAGUCUUGUAGAGGGGGGUAGAAUUCCAGGUGUAGCGGUGAAAUGCGUAGAGAUCUGGAGGAAUACCGGUGGCGAAGGCGGCCCCCUGGACAAAGACUGACGCUCAGGUGCGAAAGCGUGGGGAGCAAACAGGAUUAGAUACCCGUGUAGUC